rnacentral:lncRNA from 1 species
CUCUGUUGAACUCAGUGGGAUUCUAUGGGGCUCAAUGGGAUCCUAUGGGGCUCAAUGGGAUUCUAUGGGGCUCAAUGGGAUUCUACGGGGCUCAAUGGGAUUCUAUGGGCCUCUGUUGAACUCAAUGGGAUCCUGUGGGGUCUGAGUGCAAAUGUGUGGGUCUGAGCGCGGUUCUGUGGGGCGCUGUGGGGCGGACUCACGGCGCGGAUGGCGAGCCAGACUUGCAGGUAGCAGAGGAUGAUGAUGGCGAGGGGGAAGAAGCAGCACGUGACCAUCAG